GUGAUUGAGGGGUGCCGGAGAGCAGCCCUUUCGUGCUAAGCUUCCAGAAUGUGAUAGGGUGAUCCUAAAAGGCUGCUUAGAGGAGAGGAAGGGCGGAGCUGGAGAAAACACGAGGCUGACACAACUUGGUCAGAGACCCAGUGGGAGGACUGUGGGCCAGACUCAUAGCCCUAUCCUGAGAGCAGGCUGAGAUUUGUCACUGAGAGCCUCUGCUCAGCACAGUGCUGGAGUAAGGAGUGAUGGAAACUGCAGUGAGCCUCCUGGUGACCCCAGUCCAGCCUGAAUACCUACCAGAGAAGGACAAACCUUGCAGCUGUUCUUCAAAGGAGAGCUAUAAAAGCUCCCGAAGGCAUCAGACAGGCCUCGUGCUGUGUUUGGGAACCUUUCCAACUUCAUGGACAAGUUUGCCAUGUGCUUGCAUAUCUCAUGCAAAAAAAGGCUCGCUUUCAGGAAGGAAAUCUUCCAUGCCAGGAGCAGAAAGGAGGGGUGACACAAAGAUGGAGUGUGACUUCCUGCGUUCCAGAGAGCACGCCGGGUGCUGGGGCUGAGGCUGGCUUCGUGUCACAGGGGUAUGCUCCAUAACUCACAACACAAAUGUUCGUGGAGGAAGUGUCUCAGAGAGUGUUUCUGUCCCCUUGUUCUUCGUUGAGCAGAUAUUUCAUCUGCUCUCAGGAGGGAAGCAGAGCCCAAUGGAGAGCCUAACAGAACGCAGCAUGGAUAAUCCUGAGCUGUGCCCCGAGUCCUUGCUUGUUGGAGCGCAGACUGAGUUUGUGACUGCUCAGUUUAUUUCACUCUGUGCUGCUGUCUCGUUCUGAGGUAGAUCCAAAAUGUCACCGAUCCAAAUGAUGGAACGUCUCAUGGCAAUGGCUUCUUCUGGAGGGCAUUUGGCAGCUCUAUCACAGCCAUGGGAGGGCUGAUGUGCAGCUGCCACGUUGCUCAGAAGUCACACUGGAGGACUUGAAGGUGUGCAUGCAUGUGACUUCAAUUCCUUUGAUUUCAGCUCCGUGGUUGUGAAAUAACUUUCAGUGGGGAUUUCACGUCAGCUAAGUUUAGCUCUUGGCUGUUGAGAGGAAGAGGGACAACGCUGAUGGCUCUGCAAAUGAGCUCUGGGUUGAGUAGGGAAGGAAAAUGGACCUGGCACCUGAACUGACCUCCCCCAGCGCAGUCCUCAGGUCCUCACCUGAGAUGCUGAAAUCUGUAUUGAUAUUGUCAUCUAUAUCUCAACAUAUGUAACUUUUCCAUGCUUGCAGAGAAACAAAUGGAGUUUUUUUUCGUCAUCUGCAUUCCAGCAAUCAUCGGAGAGCCCCUGGCUCCCAGAAGCUCUCCCUGGUAUUUGGAGCAAUUAAAUGCACAGAAUGCCCAUAGCUUUGUAACAGAGGGGAAUCAUUAUGGGGAAUCAUUAUUGCAUUGGUGUGAUUUUGCUAGUGCUGCAACCCAUUCUUUGCAGCCUAAAGCACGGGGCACAGGCAGCCCAAUGGGAAAGGUAGGGAAACAGUGGAAGGAAAGCAUGUGCAGGAGCUUUCUGCAUUUGGGAUGUAUCACACGUAGUGGUGGAGCUGUGCUAAUCAAGAUCUGGAGAAUCUGGUUCCCCAUCUGAAGUGAGCAUCCCUUUUGUAUUAGUCCCUGAAGUUAUUUUAACUCGCGUUGACACAAAUUAAACAGGAAUCUUGCUGU
ensembl:lncRNA